UACAGAGGUCCCGAGCGUUGUUCGGAUUCACUGGGCGUAAAGGGUGCGUAGGUGGCCAGGUAAGUUCGGUGUGAAAGCUCGGAGCUUAACUCCGAAAUGUCAUUGAAUACUAUCUGGCUAGAGGGUCGGAGGGGAGACUGGAAUUCUCGGUGUAGCAGUGAAAUGCGUAGAUAUCGAGAGGAACACCAGUGGCGAAGGCGAGUCUCUGGACGACUCCUGACACUGAGGCACGAAAGCUAGGGGAGCAAACAGG
rnacentral:rRNA from 1 species